CAACGCUGGCGGCGUGCCUAACACAUGCAAGUCGAACGAGAAAGGGGAGCAAUCCCUGAGUACAGUGGCGACCGGGUGAGUAACACGUGACUACCUGCCCUUGAGUGGGGGAUAACCCCGGGAAACCGGGGCUAAUACCGCAUAAUAUCGAAAGAUCAAAGGAGCAAUCCGCUUUUGGAGGGGGUCGCGGCUGAUUAGCUAGUUGGUGAGGUAAUGGCUCACCAAGGCGAAGAUCGGUAUCCGGCCUGAGAGGGCGCACGGACACACUGGAACUGAAACACGGUCCAGACUCCUACGGGAGGCAGCAGUGGGGAAUUUUGCGCAAUGGGGGAAACCCUGACGCAGCAACGCCGCGUGGAGGAUGAAGGCCCUUGGGUCGUAAACUCCUUUCGACCGGGAAGAUACUGACGGUACCGGUGGAAGAAGCACCGGCUAACUCUGUGCCAGCAGCCGCGGUAAUACAGAGGGUGCGAGCGUUGUUCGGAAUUAUUGGGCGUAAAGGGCGCGUAGGCGGUGCGGUAAGUCACCUGUGAAACCUCUGGGCUUAACUCAGAGCCUGCAGGCGAAACUGCCGUGCUGGAGGGUGGGAGAGGUGCGUGGAAUUCCCGGUGUAGCGGUGAAAUGCGUAGAUAUCGGGAGGAACACCUGUGGCGAAAGCGGCGCACUGGACCACUACUGACGCUGAGGCGCGAAAGCUAGGGGAGCAAACAGGAUUAGAUACCCUGGUAGUCCUAGCCCUAAACGAUGAUUGCUUGGUGUGAUCGGUACCCAAUCCGAUCGUGCCGCAGCUAACGCGAUAAGCAAUCCGCCUGGGGAGUACGGUCGCAGGGCUGAAACU
rnacentral:rRNA from 1 species